rnacentral:lncRNA from 1 species
UAUCAUCAGAGAGUCCACCUGAGAGGCAAGCUUUGUGGAUGUCUGAACCUCCAGAAAAGCUUCAGUCAAAACUUUUAUCUUGUAAGAUACAAGAGUCUAACUACAAGACAAGUCUGUUAAGGUUCAUCUACUCCAGUUUGGAUAAAUUGAAAUUCUUCCACAGUAAGUGUGAGACACCAUUGUGAACCAGAGAAGACAGGGAUUCAGAGCAGUCUUCUAAUAUGAGGCAAUGCACUACGGAGACCGCAGAAACUUACUUAUCAAAAAUGACAAGUACAUACAAUUUAAUGGUAAGUGAUAUAUGUAAAAUCAGACUAGAUAAUCUGUUUUUUAUACUUCCUUAAUGUCAGCAUAUGUAUGAUAAAGCGAGUUAGGAAUGAACAAUACCACAUCUCUUCUAAUUAUAGAUUAUAGACAGCUUCAGUGUGAUUUUUGCAAGAGAUCCCAUAAGUGAAGCUAACUCUC